AACGAACGCUGGCGGCAGGCUUAACACAUGCAAGUCGAGCGCCCCGCAAGGGGAGCGGCAGACGGGUGAGUAACACGUGGGAACGUACCCUUUUCUACGGAAUAACGCAUGGAAACGUGUGCUAAUACCGUAUACGCCCUUUGGGGGAAAGAUCUAUCGGAGAAGGAUCGGCCCGCGUUGGAUUAGCUAGUUGGUGGGGUAAAGGCCUACCAAGGCGACGAUCCAUAGCUGGUCUGAGAGGAUGAUCAGCCACAUUGGGACUGAGACACGGCCCAAACUCCUACGGGAGGCAGCAGUGGGGAAUAUUGGACAAUGGGCGCAAGCCUGAUCCAGCCAUGCCGCGUGAGUGAUGAAGGCCUUAGGGUUGUAAAGCUCUUUCACCGGAGAAGAUAAUGACGGUAUCCGGAGAAGAAGCCCCGGCUAACUUCGUGCCAGCCGCCGCGGUAAUAC
rnacentral:rRNA from 1 species